GGUCACGUUGGCCAGUGAUGGAAAACCACGUGGUUGCUCUGAAUUUCCUCGUAGUGAUGAGGAAUGGGUGUGCCUUCCCCAGAAGCUGUCAUUCCAUUCAUGCCACAGGAUGACACUGAGGGCUGUGUUAUUUCCUGGAGACACUGCUCAAAAACCAGGGCAGCUGCCCUUAGUUGGGUGCUCAUCUUAAUCAAAGAAUGGAGAGAAGAUGUGUCCCUGUGCCCAUGGCUUCUACCAAAAGGAGUCAGGAGUCUUCCAGAACCAGAAAACCUGAAUGUUCUCCAUAGAGUAAGUGACAAGCAAGCAAAGAUAUCAUCGAGCAGUUGCCAAGGAAAAUGCCACAAGGAGGAAGUUCUGACCAGCAGAGCCCAUGAGCUAGGACAAGAAAAAACAAACAAACAAAAAAAACGCAAGACCUAGCUGGAGGAGGCCGGACGCUCACUUGUAAAGUGCAACCAACCACAGGAGGAUAUGUUAUUCGCAUUUAGAUGAGUGGCCUGUUUCUUCAUUGAUGGUGUAAAUCAAUAAAAGAAUAUCAAUUACAAA